CAUCUAGCGACCUCCACAUAACCCUGACCAUCUAGCGACCUCCACUUUGUACGGGAAGAAACACUCCAACGUGUUGGAGCUUGACGGUACCGUAAGAAUAAGGAUCGGCUAACUCCGUGCCAGCAGCCGCGGUAAUACGGAGGGUGCAAGCGUUAUCCGGAUUUAUUGGGUUUAAAGGGUCCGUAGGCGGUUUGAUAAGUCAGUGGUGAAAGCCCGCAGCUCAACUGUGGAACGGCCAUUGAUACUGUCAGACUUGAAUUAUUGGGAAGUAACUAGAAUAUGUAGUGUAGCGGUGAAAUGCUUAGAUAUUACAUGGAAUACCAAUUGCGAAGGCAGGUUACUAACAAUACAUUGACGCUGAUGGACGAAAGCGUGGGGAGCGAACAGGAUUAGAUACCCUGGUAGUCCACGCCGUAAACGAUGGAUACUCGCUGCGAGCUAAAGAUUGUUCGUGGCUUAGGGAAACCGAUAAGUAUCCCACCUGGGGAGUACGCCGGCAACGGUGAAACUCAAAGGAAUUGACGGGGGCCCGCACAAGCGGAGGAACAUGUGGUUUAAUUCGAUGAUACGCGAGGAACCUUACCCGGGCUUAAAUUGCACUGGACUAUUCUGGAAACAGGAUAUUCUUCGGACCAGUGUGAAGGUGCUGCAUGGUUGUCGUCAGCUCGUGCCGUGAGGUGUCGGCUUAAGUGCCAUAACGAGCGCAACCCUUGCUGCCAGUUACUAACAGGUAAUGCUGAGGACUCUGGCGGGACUGCCAUCGUAAGAUGCGAGGAAGGUGGGGAUGACGUCAAAUCAGCACGGCCCUUACAUCCGGGGCGACACACGUGUUACAAUGGUAAGGACAAAGGGCAGCUACCUGGCGACAGGAUGCGAAUCUCUAAACCUUAUCACAGUUCGGAUCGGAGUCUGCAACUCGACUCCGUGAAGCUGGAUUCGCUAGUAAUCGCGCAUCAGCCAUGGCGCGGUGAAUACGUUCCCGGGCCUUGUACACACCGCCCGUCAAGCCAUGGGAGUCUGGAGUACCUAAAGUCCGUAACCGCAAGGGUCGGCCUAGGGUAAUACAGGUGACUGGGGC
rnacentral:rRNA from 1 species